rnacentral:lncRNA from 1 species
CUGUAUGCAACACAACCACAACAAAAAUAGUCUUUGGUGCUGCGCUAACACUGGCGAGACUCCCCACCUUCUGAAAAAUGAGCAGUUCUGGUAAUGUGCAGAAUUCAACGCAGCCCAUGAAAUAGAAAACAGCACAGAGUUGGACGUUUAUGUGUCGAUGGUAAAACAAGGUUAUUGUUUGUGCUUGGAUGCUGAUGGGCUACUUCUUCUAUUACCUUUACAGGAAGCAGGUUCUCCGGUGGAGCCCAGAGCUGCUUAAUGAGAUGACGGAGGUACUGGUCACAGAAACGUUGUAGGAGAAAUGCUCAAAUCUGAUUCAUGAUCUGUUCUGCAGAAACGUCCAGGACGUGGUUUAAAUGUGUGUGAAGGACGUUCCCCUGUGAGCAGUGUAGAUACUGUAUGCAGCACUGGGAUCAGUGGGUUACAGGUAAUGAAGCGACUGAGCUCCAUCCAACAGUGGUUCUAUUAAAACCAGGUGAAAUCCAUCAGGAGCGGCCGUUCACACAGACUCCAUUAAUCUGUCUCUAUGUACUGCUGCUUCUUUUAUUGACUCCCGUUUGAUUCUGCUGCUUCUUUGCCAGUGGAGUCAGUCCAGUGUGUGUGGCGGCCUGGCUGCUGCUAUCUGACUGGUGCCAAGCGCCAACACUUGAGCUUUUUAUGGUCAGAAGCUGCUGUGGAGUGUGAACGUGUUGAGCAGCUCAGGGAACGUGUCCAGGUAGUUUCCCCAGCGCUUCAUGGACAUGCACUAAUCAGCCACGAGACUUCCACCACCUGGUGCAGAGAGAGGCUCGGCCGCUGGCAAAGCACCGGCUUGGGUCGGAGCCGGCGCCGUCCGCUGCUUCAGGUCUGGUGCUUUAAGUCUGAGUGAGACAAGCAGACUCGCAACACGACAGCAUCAUGUUCACCCAGCGAAGCUGUGCCAUGCGGCUCCCGUGAGCAAGGGGCUGCCCCGGUUCCUCCAGCUGUACCCUCCACGUCCUUGGGGUCUUGUUAAUACAAGUGGAGGAUCAUUUUUUGAUGCCGGCAUCUUGUUGUUGCUAAUUGAAGCUGGUGGAGUGAUGUUGAUGAUGAGGUUGGUUCAUUGUUCCCAUAGAGCUGCUUGUGCCGUCUUAUUAACAUUGCAGCACAUCAGACAUUCAUUCUACUUGUGUUUCAUUUUCCUGCCUUAAAACUACUUUCAUCACAGUGCAGCUAAUUCAGUGUCCAAAUUGACGGGAAUGGAUUCAUAGUGA